rnacentral:rRNA from 1 species
GAUGAACGCUGACAGAAUGCUUAACACAUGCCAGUCUUUGGCGAAGCUGUGCUUGCACAGCCUAGCCAAGGCGGACGGGUGAGUAACGCGUAAGGAACUUGCCCUGCAGUCAGGGAUAACAGACGGAAACGACUGAUAAGACCUGGUAAAGUCAGGCGGACUCAUGUCCAGCCUGAUGAAAAGAGAUGCUGCAGGAGAGCCUUGCGUCCUAUUAGCUUGUUGGUGGGGUAACGGCCCACCAAGGCGAUGAUAGGUAGCCGGCCUGAGAGGGUGGACGGCCACAAGGGGACUGGGAUACGGCCCUUACUCCUACGGGAGGCAGCAGUGGGGAAUAUUGGACAAUGGGGGCAACCCUGAUCCAGCAAUUCUGUGUGCACGAUGAAGGUUUUCGGAUUGUAAAGUGCUUUCAGCAGGGAAGAAAAAAAUGACGGUACCUGCAGAAGAAGCGACGGCUAAAUACGUG